AAAACAAGCUUUUUAUUAUUUCAAAUAAUUAAUCGCUGGAAACACCGCAUAAUCGCACUCAGAAAAAUCCAUAGUUCGGUAAUAAAUAAUGCUGAAAAACAACGGUAUUUGCAAAACACCUGGAAAAGGUAUUUCUGGCCUAUUCGCUAUAGGUGAAGAUAAUCAUUGAAAAGGCAUCCACGGCAACUUCUGAGAAUUCGCUUAGGACUAAUUGAAAACUAGUUUACAAGGGGGAGAAUUCAGGUGACCAAAACUCUGUUUUGUCACAUCAAUUACACUCUCAUAUGAUAAUUCUUAUAUAGAAUAGAAUAAAUUAUUAUGUUUGUAUCAACCUAGAUAGCCUGCUGCUGUGAAAGAAAUAUAUCAAGACAAAAGCACUGAAAACGAAGUUCAAAACAAAAAGACCGUGAGUUAAGACUUAAAAUGCACUCGAAGUAUUCCCGCUUGUCGUAAAAAGCGAUUAAAACACAAUUGGAAUCUGUGGGUUAGUAACAAACAAAUUUCGAAACUCGAUUACUAUUGAAACAUGAACAGCGCUCCGGAUAGGGAAUGAUUUCACUACUAUGACUUUUGGUUAUCGAAAAAAGACUAUAAUUGGUUUCUAAAAUAUAUUGUAUAUACGCGCUCAUCGACAACGGUAUCCAAGUUCAAGUUCUGAUGAUGUCUGGAGAGUACCCCUUCCCUUCUGUGACUCUUUACGGUUUACUACAUGCUGACGACUACGGCAAGGAUGCUGUCAUAACGUGGAAACCGGUUUCUAGCAGGGUGUUGAUUGCAAGAUUCCGGUCCAGACAGUUGUGCAGUGGCAUGCACCAACGAAGAUCUCAGAUAUUGAGCAGUAGGAUAGUUUCUAUUCUAUUGCGAUUGUGUUGAGUGAUCUUAAUACCAGGCAAAUCGAAAUGGCACUUGCAAAUACGCAAUGCUCUUCUUCACUCACACCAAAUCCAUUCGUGGGUUAAGAAAAAAUUUAAAAUUCAUUUUGAGGAUUUCGAUAUGAGCAGCGCUGCAUUUUUGUCGAAAGGUCGUUGGUGCUUUGCGUGAAAAUAAGGCAAAAGGCGACAAAUAUUGAAGGAGAAUGCAUUCCAAAUUAAAGUUUCUUUACUUAAAAUGUUUAAUAGAUUUUGUUACAUGAAAACAACUUUUAUUUUUUGUCAACCUAAUGUAUUUUACCAGAUGAUAAUAUACAUAUCUAGAAUUUGAAA